GAAAUAACACAAAUUUCUUUUCUUUACUUCUUUUUAGGGGAGCAGCACACAAAAAUCGGUGAACUCACUGCAGACGUGGGCGUUUGCACCAAAAAACUCCAGCGAUGCGAGGCAGAACUCGAGGAGCGGGAGGUGACGAUCCGGGAAAACGAAGCGGAGCUCAGGCGCCUGAGGGAGCUUCUGGAGGAGAAGGAUUCGGAAAUUCGUAAGUUCUGGAGCAAAAAUACAAAAAAUUUGGACAAAAUACAACAGAAAUUAAAGGAAAUUGUCCUGGAAAUCUGAUUUUCUUCCCUAAAUGUUCAGUCCUGUUCAAUGAUUUCAUUAAAUUAAUGUAACAAUUUUCAGUUUUCAGAUAUUUUCUCUGAAAUUUUAGCAUUAAAUGAAAUAUUUGCUGUUGUCUGCUUGAACUCAGUGUCAUAAAUUGGGGGAAAAUGGGGUUUUGUUCAUUUCUACUCCUUUUUUUGUUUCUCUCUAGGCAAGAAGGACGCUGUGAUUCGUAAGUGUCAUUUUCUGAGAAACCAGAUGCUUGAGGGGUCACGAGUUUUUUAGUUUAAUAUUUUUAUUCUCAUUUCUAUUCUAAAUUUCUAAAUUUCUAAAAAGAAAUAAUCUGCAUUUCACCUUUUUCCUCUUUUUUUUUAGAAGAAUUGAAGGAGCGGGAAAGUGGUGAGUGAUUUUUUUUUUCCUUUGUUUUUAACAAAUUUCAGAAAAUUGUACUUCAAAUUUUAGAGAUAAUUUUAUUUCUAAUAAUGUUUCAUUAAUAAU
rnacentral:lncRNA from 1 species